UUUGAUCCUGGCUCAGAGCGAACGUUAGCGGCGGGCCUAACACAUGCAAGUCGAACGCGAAAGGUCUUCGGACUGAGUAGAGUGGCGCACGGGUGAGUAACACGUAGGUAAUCUACCCUUUGGCGGGGGAUAACGUUCCGAAAGGAGCGCUAAUACCGCAUAAGACCACGGAGUCUCCGGACGCUGUGGGAAAAGGUGGCCUCUUCUUGAAAGCUACCACCGAAGGAUGAGCCUGCGUCCCAUCAGCUAGUUGGUAAGGUAAUGGCUUACCAAGGCGAAGACGGGUAGCUGGUUUGAGAGAAUGAUCAGCCACACUGGCACUGGAACACGGGCCAGACUCCUACGGGAGGCAGCAGUGAGGAAUAUUGGGCAAUGGGCGAAAGCCUGACCCAGCCACGCCGCGUGAGUGAUGAAGGCCCUCGGGUCGUAAAGCUCUGUGGAGAGGGACGAAAACCCUGGUUUCAAAUAGGCUCCAGGCUUGACGGUACCUCUUUAGCAAGCACCGGCUAACUCUGUG
rnacentral:rRNA from 1 species